rnacentral:tRNA from 1 species
GGCCGGUUAGCUCAGUCGGUUAGAGCUUGGUGCUGAUAACACCAAGGUCAUGGGUUUGAUUCCCGUUCGGUCC